rnacentral:rRNA from 1 species
GAUGAACGCUGGCGGCGUGCCUAACACAUGCAAGUCGAACGAAUCAGAUAUUCAACACUGAGUAUUUAGACGAAGGAAAAAAGUUAGCCAGCGUCAAGGACGAACGAUAGAGAGUCCUUUACGCGUUCAAAAAGUGUGCUAACACAUGAUAGUCUGAAUGUUGAGUGUUGAAUAUCUGAUUAGUGGCGGACGGGUGAGUAACGCGUGGGAAACCUGCCCUAUACAGGGGGAUAGCCUCGGGAAACUGGGAUUAAUACCCCAUAAAACUCUAGUAUCGCAUGAUACAUGAGCCAAAGAUUUAUCGGUAUAGGAUGGUCCCGCGUCUGAUUAGCUAGUUGGUGAGGUAACGGCUCACCGAGGCGACGAUCAGUAGCCGGCCUGAGAGGGUGAACGGCCACACUGGAACUGAGACACGGUCCAGACUCCUACGGGAGGCAGCAGUGGGGAAUAUUGCACAAUGGGGGAAACCCUGAUGCAGCGACGCCGCGUG